rnacentral:tRNA from 1 species
GCUGAGGUGGCAGAGUGGUCAAAUGCGGCGGAUUGCUAAUCCGUUUCCCGAAAGGGAGCACGAGUUCAAAUCUCGUCCUCAGCG